CCUACGGGAGGCUGCAGUGAGGAAUAUUGGUCAAUGGGCGGGAGCCUGAACCAGCCAAGUCGCGUGAGGGAUGACGGCCCUAUGGGUUGUAAACCUCUUUUGCCGGGGAGCAAAGUGCCGCACGUGUGCGGUUUGGAGAGUACCCGGAGAAAAAGCAUCGGCUAACUCCGUGCCAGCAGCCGCGGUAAUACGGAGGAUGCGAGCGUUAUCCGGAUUUACUGGGCGUAAAGGGUGUGCAGGCGGUUUUGCAAGAUGGAUGUGAAAGCCCCGGGCUUAACCUGGGAAAGCCAUACAUGACUGCAAGACUAGAGUGCGUCAGAGGGGGGUGGAAUUCCAAGUGUAGCAGUGAAAUGCGUAGAUAUUUGGAAGAACACCGAUGGCGAAGGCAGCCCCCUGGGACGCAACUGACGCUCAUACACGAAAGCGUGGGGAGCAAACAGGAUUAGAUACCCUUGUAGUC
rnacentral:rRNA from 1 species